rnacentral:rRNA from 1 species
GACAGAGGGGGCAAGCGUUGCUCGGAAUCACAGGGCGUAAAGGGCGCGUAGGCGGGAUGGCAAGUCGGUCGUGAAAUCCUUCGGCUCAACCGAAGAACGUCGGCCGAUACUGCCGUUCUUGAGGGAUGCAGAGGAGAUUGGAAUUCCCGGUGUAGCGGUGAAAUGUGUAGAGAUCGGGAGGAACACCGGUGGCGAAGGCGGGUCUCUGGGCAUCUCCUGACGCUGAGGCGCGAAAGCGUGGGGAGCAAACGGG